CUUCAGCUUUGGUCCCUCGGGGCGUCUGGGCAGCCUACGCUUUCCGCCCUUGGCAGCUCAGGUUCCGCGGGAGGACGUUCACCUGCUUCGCGGUCUCGUGGAGGUCCACCGCGGCGGAGAAUCCUAAACCUCACCUGUGACUCGGCAGGAUGAGCGGCCAGCACUCCCGACGGAGGCCCUCUGGGAGAAAAGAGGCCCUUGGCCUCGAGACCCAGGAAAGCGGGCUGUUCAGGAGUUGGUUCGCGCAGUUACACCGAAAGCGCCGUGGGCCUCAAAGCCGCAGCCCGGAGGAUAAAAAUGGCAGAAUGAAAGAAUUAUGAGUGGAACUAGAGAAUAGGAAAGACAUGAACCAACGCCCAAAAUGAGAAAGAAGGACAUAUAAAGAAAAAGACAAAUACAAGUGAAAAAAAUAGACUAAUGGAUUAACGUCCCUGUCGUGUGACAUUUUCUGGUAUGACAGCUGAAGAUGUUGAACCGUAUGGUGCAGUUUUGCAAAUAGUGUAUGAAGUGGGUUGUAAGUUUUACCAGUAAUUGUC
rnacentral:lncRNA from 1 species